rnacentral:lncRNA from 1 species
GCCAUUUUCUGGAACAGAACAGGGAGGUAUUUGGAUAAAGCCAGGUACUUGGCGAGGCCACCACUCCUGCCCACAUGCAGUGCCCGGGAGCUGAAUGGAGGCUGCACUUUCCCACCAGCAGGCUCUGAAGAACCAGGAAGAAAACAGGAAGUCGAAACCAGGGCUAGGGACCUGGAGCAGAUUCCCACGCACGGCUGGGUCCCUGCUGUGACCCGCUGGACGACAGGGUGAUCAAGGCACCUGCGCUUUGUGGCACAGCUUCCCCCAGCCACCCAGGGCCUCAGGGGCGCAGGUCACAGGGGCCACAGGGGCCCUCUCUGUCCUCUCAAGGAGCUCGCCUGGGGGCCCUGCACGGAUCACAGAAGGAAUACAAAAGCCUCUUCAAGGAAAGGUUACGGUUAAGGAACCCAUAAACAAACUCGUGAAAGGAGGGCAGAUUAUGCCUUCAGCCAACCGGACAGGAACCAGGAAGUGAGUAGCUGAUCCGUAAGAACUGAGCAAAAACCAGCCAGGUGCAAAGAGUCCAAAGAGGCACGCGGAAGGCCUGCUGCUGGUGGGGACGCCAAUGCCUGCAGAGGGACUGCGGGAAGCCAGGGCCACUGAGCUGCUGCUCCCUUUCACCCUGUCUACAAGACAGCCAAGCGUAAGAGAAGCCAGAGUUGAAGUUAUCUUGGAACCAGACAGUGGAGGAUUGGUGAAUUUGGUCACCAGUGGAUGCUGGGCUUGCCACUAGGGGCCAAGGUGUGGAUCAAGGAGCUUCCAGCCAGAACCGCUAACAACUUAAGGAGAAAACACGUACUGGGGUGAGAUGAUCUGAAGGGUGUUUCCAACGAGAAUGACACAAAUACCAAGGACUGGAGAAGCCCUUGGAACAAUUGAUAAAGCUUCCCACAUUUUUUUUUUUUUGAGAUGGAGUCUCACUCUGUCACCCAGGCUGAAGUGCAAUCGCAUGAUCUCGGCUCACUGCAACCUCUGCCUCCUGGAAUCAAGGAAUUCUCCUGCCUCAGCCUCCUGAGUAGCUGGGAUUACAGGCUCCCACCACACCUGGCUAAUUUUGUAUUUUUAGUAGAGACAGGGUUUCACCAUGUUGGUCAGGCUGGUCUCGAACUCCUGACCUCAGGUGAUCCACCUGCUUCCGCCUCCCAAAGUGCUGGGAUUACAGGCAUGAGCCACUGCGCCUGGUCAAUUUCCCACAUUUUCUUAAGAUUAUGUUUGGCCUACAAAAGCUCAACCCAAAGCUAUCUUAUCAAGCUGGUAUGGAAUCUUUAUUUCAGCAAGGUGAUAUCCCCAAUAUGUAAUUCAACCUUUUGUUUAUUCCAAUAAUUAGUACGCAGGUGCUAUUUUAACUAAAAUUGUGUUAAAUUUGAGAUAAAAUCAAUGUAUUUUUGUAAUUUUGUUUUCACCCUGAAAAUUGGUCCUACUAUAAGACAAGAUGGGAUCACCCUUCCUGUGAUGGCUGGCUCCGGUGGAAGCCUGCGUGGGGCUCCCAUACCCCUCACCCUCCUGGACAGAUCGUCACCCUGUCUCUGCUUAAAUGCCUCUGGUAACAGGGAGCUCACUAAUCCACAAGGAAGUCUGCUCUGUUUUUGACACCUCUGACUAUUAAAGUUACUCUUUUUCUUUUCUUUUCUUUUCUUUUUUUUUUUUUUUUUAAGACAGGUUCUCUCUCUGUUGCCCAGGCUGGAGUGUAGUGGCAUGAUCACGUCUCACUGCAGCCUUGACCUCCUGGGCUGACAUGAUCCUCCUGCCUCAGCCUCCCAAGUAGCUGGGACCACAGGUCUGUGCCACCACAUCCAGCUAAAUUUUACUUGUUUUUUUGAGACAGGGUCUCACUCUGUUGCCCAGGCAUGGGCAUGGCUCACUGCAGCCACAACCUAUGUGGGCUCACUCAUCCUCCCACCUCAGCCUCCUGAGUAGCUGGGACUACAGGAACGCACCAUCACGCCCAGCUCAUUUUUGUGUUUUUUUGUAGAGACAGGGUUUCGUCAUGUUGCCUAGGCUGGUCUUGAACUCCUGAGCUCAAGCUAUGUAUCCUCCUGGGCCUCCCAAAGCACUGGGAUUACAGGAGUGAGCCACGGUGCUCAGCCCAAGUUAUUCUUUACGCUGACCUUAAAUAUACAUUCUCCCAAACUCACACCCCUUCUCCACAUGGUCAAGGUGUCUUAGUGACGGGGUGAAAAAGCUGGAGUUGAGUUGCAUCUUGGCUUUGAUCCCUACAGGCAAGCCAUGCAAUGACUGGGACUGUUCUUCCCUGUCUACAGAUGGGGGCUCCUUCCUUCCUUUUCUCUUUUGUGAACAUUAAAUGAUGCCAUGACAUGCCAUGUAGGAGGGCACUUGCUGAACAGCCAACACUCCUUUCCCGUUGGUCUUGCCCUGGCUCUGGGGGUCACACAAUUGCUACAG